rnacentral:rRNA from 1 species
AUUGAACGCUGGCGGCAUGCUUUACACAUGCAAGUCGAACGGCAGCGCGGGCUUCGGCCUGGCGGCGAGUGGCGAACGGGUGAGCAAUACAUCGGAACGUGCCCAGUAGUGGGGGAUAGCUCGGCGAAAGCCGGAUUAAUACCGCAUACGACCUGAGGGUGAAAGCGGGGGAUCUUCGGACCUCGCGCUAUUGGAGCGGCCGAUGGCAGAUUAGCUAGUUGGUGGGGUAAAGGCCUACCAAGGCGACGAUCUGUAGCUGGUCUGAGAGGACGACCAGCCACACUGGGACUGAGACACGGCCCAGACUCCUACGGGAGGCAGCAGUGGGGAAUUUUGGACAAUGGGCGAAAGCCUGAUCCAGCAAUGCCGCGUGUGUGAUGAAGGCCUUCGGGUUGUAAAGCACUUUUGGCGGGAACGAAAAGGACUGUGCCAAUACCACGGUUCGAUGACGGUACCCGCAGAAUAAGCACCGGCUAACUACGUG